rnacentral:rRNA from 1 species
UACAGGGGGGGCAAGCGUUGUUCGGAAUUACUGGGCGUAAAGGGCUCGUAGGCGGCCAACUAAGUCACACGUGAAAUCCCCGGGCUUAACCUGGGAACUGCAGUCGAGACUGUCUAGCUAGAGUAUGGGAGAGGGAAGUGGAAUUUCAGGUGUAGCGGUGAAAUGCGUAGAUAUCUGAAGGAACAUCAGUGGCGAAAGCGACUUCCUGGACCAAUACUGACGCUCAUGUGCGAAAGCGUGGGGAGCAAACAGG